rnacentral:lncRNA from 1 species
AAAGAUAAACAUCUUUUAUUUAAAUGUAACCUCCAGUGGAAUAAAAUCUUCUUUCAACUGACUUUUGGCCUUCCCUCUUUUAGUUGGUGUUCUCUGUUAAAGCAUUCCACAGUCUCAGAAGCUGAGGUCCUGAAGUGACCCCUCCAUCCCAACUCAUGUCACGUCCAAGCUAAUUAGAAGGCCCCAAAUCUCCUUGGCAGUACUGGGCUGAAGACAGCAGAAUGAGGGUCUUUGUUAAUAAAAUCUACCCCUGAUUCAAGCCUUCUCAUGGCCUCAUGGGUGCAGGAACUGGUCACCCACUAGUUAAACAGUCAGUCGUUUGGCUGCCUUUGGCUUUCUGUUUUGAAUGAAAGGAGGAAAAUGACAAUGUCUGGAAAUACACAAGGGCAUGCACUAAAAACUGCCACUUGGGAUUGAAUGAGAGAACUAUUAGACAAAGGCAAUGUCUCGGGGAUCCCUCUCCACCUCUUUCACGGAAAAAUCCUUCUCUUUAGCAAGUUUUGUU